GUGUAACCCAUAAAAGGGGGUGCAUCGGUGUCCCCUAUACAAAAACUUUCAUAAAAAGGGGGACAUUGUAUGUAUACUAAUUUUAGACCAUAGAUAUAUUAAUUAAAUAUUUCAACGGUUUAGAUUAAAGAUGCAGAUUUACUAAAUUGCCCUGCCAUUCAUUAAAAAAAAUCCUCUUCUUUCUGGUUUUGAUUGGCAACGCCGCUUCCCACCAUCAUCUCACCCACCCACCACCAUCAACCAGAAACCCAGAACCCACCCACCUCCACGCCACCCAGAACCUACCACCACCACCAACCAGAAACACAUAAACCACCCACCACCAUCACCAACCUCUUCACGCCACCCCAAACCCAGAACCCACCACCAUCCCUAAGAUCCAUCGAAUCAGAGCUCAGACCACCACAUCCACCAAUGAGCCAAGCUCGACAUCUGAAUCGGUCACCACCACCAGCUCAAGGCGGAUAACCCAUUUCAGAUCUGAGGGAGGUUGAGUGUGAUGCUGGUCGAGUGGUUUUGUUCACUGGUCCAGGAAGUGAACAAGAGGGUUAAGAAGAAGGAACAGACGCUGAGGAGGAGUGGAGGAAGAAGAAGGAUUUGCAGAUGCUAAGGCGGUCGAGGGCGGGGAUCUCAUCGUCGAUCUUGUCCUCGACGGCUUGCACCACCGUGAGGACUUGCUUCUCGAUCUCGGGACGCUUACUGGUACUUGCUUCACCACCCCACACGCUGGUUAUAACUGUCACCUGCAACCCAGAUCGACGAGAAGAGGAGCAACAAACCUCGAUCUGGGUUCGUCGCCGUCAUCAUCAACGCUCUCAGAACCCUCAAACCUCACCGAUGGCUUGGACGGUGGAUCCAGAUUUGGUGACGUUUUCCCAAUUGCUGUCGAGGAUCUCUCCUUGUUCCUCUAGAUCCCUCCCUCUCUCAAAUCCAUUUUGAUUGAUCUUGGGUGGUGGCGGUGGGGGCAGUGGUAGUUGGGUGCCGAAGGGGGUUGUGGCUUGGGCGGUGAAGUUCUGUUGUGGCUUGGGCGGUGGAGUAUGUGAUGGCAGUGGUGGUUCACGGGUUGAUGGAUAAAUUGGUAAUCUGACUUAUAAAUUAUGAGGGACACCGGUGCAUUCCCUUUUAAGGGUGACACCAUAGAUUUCAACCUAAUAUUUUAAGUAACUUAUUUUUUAUAACAGAAAAAAGUAAAAAGUUAUGGAGAAGAGCUUUUUACUUAAAUGUAGUUUAUGACUUAUUUUUUAUUAACGUUAUCAGUUGAUUCUGUUCUAUCUGUUCGCCAUCUUCUUCUUCGUUCAAGGAAAACAGAAGGUUCAAGGAAAACAGAAGGUCUCCUUCUCAGACUAAACUGCGACGAGGUUGAAGGCUGUUUUCCACCAAACUGAGAGUGAGAGGAGAUCGAAAGCGCACGGCCUCUGCAAUCUUGGAGAGGAGAUCAAAAACCCCUCUAAAUAUAGCCUCCAAUCUGAAUCUAAUACCUCCAUCGAUGGAGUGUCGUGAAGCAAAUUAUAGAGAUCGGUUUCCUGCGAGAUCGAUAACCCCUCCAAAUAUGGCUUCCAAAUCGGAAUCUUCUGGAUUUUGUUUUCUUUUGGAAAUCUCAAUUUUGAAGAAGGAGGGGGAGGGCUUUGCUUGCAACAGAACCGUCAAGAGGAAUAGGGUCUCCUGGAAUCUAUGUGACAGAGCAAUUUGGGCUCCUUCUAAGCUUCGAUCAAGUCCCAAAUUGCAGAAUCAAUGGUUGUUCUAAGCUUGCCAUUGAUGGAGUGAAGCUUUUGUUCUUUGGAUACUACUCGGUUCCUAUUUAUGUUAAAGAACAAGACACAAACUGUUUCUAGAUUUUGAUAAUUGUUUGCAAUUAUUAUUUGCAUUGGCUAGUGCUGCUACAUGGAUCUUGAUAAUUGUUUCUUCUUGAUUCAAUUCAUUUUUCUAUUAAAAGAAUCAUUUGUUGUUUCUGGAAAUCAUUCAGUAAGCACUUACCACCAAAUAACUUUUAACUUAAAAGUAACUUUUGAGCUAUUAUUCUAAAAAAAUUGUCAAACAUCUUCUACUUUUUUUUUAAAUCUUUUAUUUUAAACUUUUACUUAUAAGUAACUUUUAAAUCAUAAAAAAGCUGGGCCAAAAUCUGAAUCUGGGUCCUGAAAAAGUUCGAAUUUUUCUUCUUUUGACACAUACCCAUCUCAUUCUGUGUGCACACCCCUGAAAAGCUAUGUUUUUUGAACUUGAGAGAGCGAGCGGAGGUUGAUUUAAAGGUGCUCAUGGCUGAAACUGAUCACAAUACUCGCAAGGUUGCGCAGAUGGGUGAAAGCCAAGAUUAAUUAGGAGAUUGAAAAGGGAAAAUUUGAUGAAGAUUCAAGCUCUCAAAGGCGUCAAUGGAAGCCAGUUUUUGAUGACGCUUCAAUUUCCCAUAACAGGCCUCUCAAGAAGAUUCGCAGCCCUCAACGUCAACAACAACAUCAACCUUCUCCCUCCUCUGCUCCUUCCUCCACAGUAUCAAGUACUAGGACUUGGAAAAUUGACAGCUUCACCGACUAUCUGGUGUGGCUGAUGGCAACAAGGAGGUAUCAUUCUUUCUUAUAAAACAUAUUUUCCUUUGAAAAUUGACAGCCUCUUUUACUUGAUGCACGCUACAUGUUGCUAUGUGAUUGGAAAAUCUUAAAAUCCGACCAAUCCACAUCGAUCUCAAGGUCUUAAUGAAGUUUAAGGAUCUCAGGCUAGAACCCACUCAGGCCUUCACGGUGAUGAGCAGACUCCCUUCUAAGAUGCCUACUGAGAUCCGGUGCUUCUUGUGAGACUCCCUUCUAAGGUUUACAUGUUUGCAGAAAGGUACAAACCUGGAUCCUGUCUUGAGUACCAGACUACUAGCUUUCUUGAACACCAGCUAUUCUUGAUGGUCUUGUAGGAGGAGAGAAGUUUUGCGGACACAUUUCUCUUCAAAGUCAUCUUGAGAAGAUCGUUAUCAUAGAUAUGACUUUAGCUUGAAGAUGUAUGGUAUUCAAGAGAGUAGCUUUGCCUAAAUGG